rnacentral:rRNA from 1 species
UAGGGAAUCUUCCACAAUGGACGCAAGUCUGAUGGAGCAACGCCGCGUGAGUGAAGAAGGUUUUCGGACCGUAAAGCUCUGUUGUUGGUGAAGAAGGAUAGAGGUAGUAACUGGCCUUUAUUUGACGGUAAUCAACCAGAAAGUCACGGCUAACUACGUGCCAGCAGCCGCGGUAAUACGUAGGUGGCAAGCGUUGUCCGGAUUUAUUGGGCGUAAAGCGAGCGCAGGCGGAAGAAUAAGUCUGAUGUGAAAGCCCUCGGCUUAACCGAGGAAUUGCAUCGGAAACUGUUUUCUUGAGUGCAGAAGAGGAGAGUAGAACUCCAUGUGUAGCGGUGGAAUGCGUAGAUAUAUGGAAGAAUACCAGUGGCGAAGGCGGCUCUCUGGUCUGCAACUGACGCUGAGGCUCGAAAGCAUGGGUAGCGAACAGGAUUAGAUACCCUGGUAGUCCAUGCCGUAAACGAUGAGUGCUAAGUGUUGGGAGGCUUCCGCCUCUCAGUGCUGCAGCUAACGCAUUAAGCACUCCGCCUGGGGGAGUACGACCGCAAGGCUGAAAC